UUACCGGUUAGCUCCGGUUAGCUAGCUCCGUUAUAAAGAUAUAGAGUGGUGGAGACUGCUUGGAGAGGGGUAACAACCAGAUUCUGAUAAAUGACAUUCAGGGAGUUUUCACAGCAGCGUGGCAGCAGUGUUUCAACGGUUUUAUAACUACAGUUAAUCCCACGGCAAGACCACCAGCAGCAUGCUACUGCUAAC